CAACUUCUUAUAUAAAAAAAAUAGCAACUGGGAGAAAGAACUGAAAAAUAGAAAUUAGAACCGGUUCAAAUUCUCCGAGGCCCGAAUAAUUCGACGCUGUUGACUACAUAUAUUGCCAAAUAUUCUGACGGAAAAGUUCAAUCUUGAACGAAUGAAUGAUUCUUCACACUUGUUUUCGUAUUCAGCAAGCGAAGCGAAAACCCUUUUGAUAUUUUUAGCGUGGAGCAGAAGUAAGAUCCUCAAUUUAUGAAAACCCUUUUAGUUUUAUAGAAGUUUGCUUAAGGAUUGAGUUUUUGACCAUGGCUGCAAAAAGAGCAAGACUGCAAAGUAGAAUAGAGCUAGAGAAUUUUAAGGGGAAAGACACCUUGGGGGUUGACAUGAUAUCGACGCUACCUGAUCAUAUUAUAUAUCACAUUCUUUCUUUCGUUUCCACCCUUGAUGUUAUCCGGAUGAGCCUCCUUUCCAGACAUUGGAGAAACAUGUGGUGCUCCAUCCCUGUAUUGAACUUUUGCGACUCUAGUGAUAUUGGAAUGAACUUUGAUCGACUGAAGUUCUAUAAGUUUGUAAUCCAUUGUUUGGAUCAACGUAGGAUAGAUAUGCUCAAGAAUACUAACAUGGCUAUGACUAGAUUUAAGCUUGACUUGAAGUGUUAUUAUCCUUUGAGCACUGGCACCAUAGAUUUUUUGUUGGGUUCCGCAUGCUGUUUUAGUAAGCUAAAGGAGUUAGAUCUCUGCAUCAGAUCAAAAGGGAAUCGGAAGUUGUACUACUUGCAUCCUGGUAUAUUUUCUAACAGCCCUUUGACUUCUGUAAAGUUGUGUGGUAUCAUGUUGGAUGGUCAAAAUUCUGCUCCUAUCUGUGUACCAUCUUUGAUAUAUUUGUCAUUAGAGAGUGUUGGAUUGGAUGAUCGUAUACUUCACAAUAUAUUAACUAGAUGCUGUUCCCUUGAGAAAUUGGUUUUUAAGGAAUGCACGAAGUUGCUGAAUCCUAGAGUUUCAAAUAUGAGCCUUAAGUAUUUGGAAAUUGUUCAAGGGUCUUGUGAAGUAACAUUUCAAGUCGAAGCUAUGAAUCUGCAGUCCCUUGUGUAUGAUGGAGGUCCUAACUACUGUGACCUCAAUCUUUCAUCUUGUGGAGCACUUCGACAUCUUUCACUAUCUAACAUGAGGCUCAAGGAUCAGUGGUUGGAAGGUCUAACUUUUGAAGUGCCUCUUCUUGAGAGUUUGAGUCUAUGUGACUGUAGGUUUUCGCAUAUCAAAAUCUUGAGUGAGCACCUGAAACACUUUGUUUUCAGAGGAAACAAAUUCUGUCACGCAUUGGAAGCUAUUAUCCACACACCUAAUUUAGUCUUCUUUAGCUUUGACGGGGAUUUGUCAUUCAUUUUUUCAAUGAUUGCACCAAAUAUCUUGCAAUCAAAUAUCAAACUUCAGAAUCCUGCGACUCAUGAUACACAAUGGUAUUUCAGUCUUCUAGAUUUUCUUAUAAAUCUUGAUUUCUCCAAGAGCGUGUGUCUACAUGUUUAUUCAGAAGAGGAUCUCAUUUUUCCUCGUAGCUUUAAAAGAAUCUGCCGGACUCCUUUGCCUUCUCUCAAGCAUCUGAAGGUAAAGAUUGAUUGCCCUCUGUCAAGAGACUCUGACUUAAGAGAUGCAUUACUUUGGGUUUCACCUUCAUUGGAGACUUUAUCAAUAGAGCAAAACCCUGGGAUGGUUGUUGAGUUAGAUUGAUUCUGGCUUAAAGAAGAGGUUUAGAAAAGCUUUAGUCAAAUUUGUUUUCUUGCCAUUUGGAGAAGUUUCGUUUGAACCAAUAUUACAUGCUGAAUUUUAGCAGAGAAAUAAGUAUGAGGGUUGGUUGACUUUACAAAUUCGGAAGUAAUAUGACUGUGACUUGGUGGGUCUGAAAUGUUGGUGCAGGAGAAAUAAACGAAGCUUAAUUUAGUCUAACUAUAUGGAAAAUGGGACUUGGAUAAGAGGAUAUAUGGUAGUGAUGAUGCGACUUUGCUUCUGAGUUGGCAAGAGAGGGUUGAAGUUUUGAAAGACGUAGCUUCUGGGGUUCUAUGUUUGCAUGAGUGUUGGGAAGCUAAGGUCUUGCAUAGGGAUAUCAAGUCUAGUAAUGUAUUGCUUGACAAGGACUUUGAUUGCUAUAAUGCACCACCAUUAUCAUAUAGCCAGCAUCACAAGAGUGACUGGUACGGGGAUAUGGUGUCAGAAUUUGUUCAAAUCAGACGGGCCUCAGUUUAAACAUACGUGCUUAACUUUGUAGCGGUUUUAAAGGUAGUACGAGGGAGAAGAAGACCGAUUGAACAAAGCUUGCCAUGUUUGGUGGAAUGGAGACAAGAGGAGCUUCUUUCAGCUCUUGAUGUGCUGCUGGUGACCAAAGGUGGUAGAUACAACAUAUAAGAAGCUGAGAAACUGCACUCUUGGGCCUUGUUCUCAACUGCUCUUUUGGGGCAUGUUGUGUGUGAAUCAUGAACCUCGGCUGUGGCCUGUAGACGAGGAGGAGGCAUGCGGUGACGUUGUUGAUUACGCUGAAAAGGAAAAUAUGACGGUGAAAUUAAUGUGGAAAGAUAGAGUGCACUUUUUAGUCUUGUUGGAGCUUUGGUGUAAGAGGAGCAAACUCUAUUCUCUCCCUUUUCUAUUUCGUUUCUCUAGAUGAAUUGGAUUUUAUUCAUGAGGGCCGGUAACAAUGUGGGAUUUGUAGUCUUAUGGUUAAUAAUUUUGACAAUGGAGUACUUUUUAAUAUGACUAUGGGAUGACUUAUUUUAUGUA